rnacentral:rRNA from 1 species
CCUACGGGUGGCUGCAGUGGGGAAUAUUGGACAAUGGGGGGAACCCUGAUCCAGCCAUGCCGCGUGUGUGAAGAAGGCCCUCGGGUUGUAAAGCACUUUCAGUGAGGAAGAACGCCUGGUGGUUAAUACCCAUCAGGAAAGACAUCACUCACAGAAGAAGCACCGGCUAACUCCGUGCCAGCAGCCGCGGUAAUUCGGAGGGUGCGAGCGUUAAUCGGAAUUACUGGGCGUAAAGCGCGCGUAGGUGGCUUGAUAAGCCGGUUGUGAAAGCCCCGGGCUCAACCUGGGAACGGCAUCCGGAACUGUCAAGCUAGAGUGCAGGAGAGGAAGGUAGAAUUCCCGGUGUAGCGGUGAAAUGCGUAGAGAUCGGGAGGAAUACCAGUGGCGAAGGCGGCCUUCUGGACUGACACUGACACUGAGGUGCGAAAGCGUGGGUAGCAAACAGGAUUAGAUACCCCGGUAGUC